UGCGUAGGCGGCUGAUUAAGUCGGAUGUGAAAUCCCUGAGCUUAACUUAGGAAUUGCAUUCGAUACUGGUCAGCUAGAGUAUGGGAGAGGAUGGUAGAAUUCCAGGUGUAGCGGUGAAAUGCGUAGAGAUCUGGAGGAAUACCGAUGGCGAAGGCAGCCAUCUGGCCUAAUACUGACGCUGAGGUACGAAAGCAUGGGGAGCAAACA
rnacentral:rRNA from 1 species